CCAGAGAACUUAGCAGAGAUGCUUUGUGCCUUCGGGAACUCUGAGACAGGUGCUGCAUGGCUGUCGUCAGCUCGUGUUGUGAAAUGUUGGGUUAAGUCCCGCAACGAGCGCAACCCUUAUCCUUUGUUGCCAGCGGCUCGGCCGGGAACUCAAAGGAGACUGCCGGUGAUAAACCGGAGGAAGGUGGGGAUGACGUCAAGUCAUCAUGGCCCUUACGGCCAGGGCUACACACGUGCUACAAUGGCGCAUACAAAGAGAAGCGACCUCGCGAGAGCAAGCGGACCUCACAAAGUGCGUCGUAGUCCGGAUUGGAGUCUGCAACUCGACUCCAUGAAGUCGGAAUCGCUAGUAAUCGUAGAUCAGAAUGCUACGGUGAAUACGUUCCCGGGCCUUGUACACACCGCCCGUCACACCAUGGGAGUGGGUUGCAAAAGAAGUAGGUAGCUUAACCUUCGGGAGGGCGCUUACCACUUUGUGAUUCAUGACUGGGGUGAAGUCGUAACAAGGUAGGCGUAGCGAG
rnacentral:rRNA from 1 species